rnacentral:rRNA from 1 species
AGAGUUUGAUCCUGGCUCAGAAUCAACGCUGGCGGCGCGCUUAACACAUGCAAGCCGCACGAGAAAACAGGAGCAAUCUUGUGAGUAAAGUGGCGUACGGGUGAGUAACACGUGGAUCAUCUACCUCUUGGUGGGGAAUAACCCUGGGAAACCGGGGCUAAUACCGCAUAAGCCUGCGAAGGGAAAGCAGCAAUGCGCCGAGAGAGGAGUCCGCGGCCGAUUAGCUAGUUGGCGGGGUAACGGCCCACCAAGGCGAAGAUCGGUAGCCGGCCUGAGAGGGCACACGGCCACACUGGCACUGAAACACGGGCCAGACUCCUACGGGAGGCAGCAGUGGGGAAUCUUGCACAAUGGAGGAAACUCUGAUGCAGCGACGCCGCGUGAGCGAUGAAGCCCCUCGGGGUGUAAAGCUCUUUCGACGGGAAAGAUAACGACGGUACCCGAAGAAGAAGCUGCGGCUAACUACGUGCCAGCAGCCGCGGUAAU